GAUGAACGCUGGCGGCGUGCCUAAUACAUGCAAGUCGAGCGAACAGACGAGGAGCUUGCUCCUCUGACGUUAGCGGCGGACGGGUGAGUAACACGUGGAUAACCUACCUAUAAGACUGGGAUAACUUCGGGAAACCGGAGCUAAUACCGGAUAAUAUAUUGAACAGCAUGGUUCAAUAGUGAAAGACGGUUUUGCUGUCACUUAUAGAUGGAUCCGCGCCGCAUUAGCUAGUUGGUAAGGUAACGGCUUACCAAGGCAACGAUGCGUAGCCGACCUGAGAGGGUGAUCGGCCACCCUGGAAGUGAGACACGGUCCAGACUCCUACGGGAGGCAGCAGUAGGGAAUCUUCCGCGAUGGGCGAAAGCUUGACGGAGCAACGCCGCGUGAGUGAUGAAGGUCUUCGGAUCGUAGAACUCUGUUAUUAGGGAAGAACAAAUGUGUAAGUAACUAUGCACGUCUUGACGGUACCUAAUCAGAAAGCCACGGCUAACUACGUG
rnacentral:rRNA from 1 species